rnacentral:lncRNA from 1 species
AAAACCCACUUUUGUCCUCCACGGCGGAUCCAACACCUUGAUCCAUCUACCAAUUGUACAAGAAAACCGAAGAACUCACGCACGUGGGGGGAUCUUCGAAAAUCCUAGAUGCAAGGCCUGGCCCAGCUGUGAUAGGUGGAGCAAGCAGGGAGUGAAGGGGGGCGUAGAAUUACGCCAUAGCCAUGGCCUCCAGUUGAGCCAGAGUCCUCCUCCGCCAUAGCCAUAGCCAGACCUAGAGUUACAGAGCGAGAGAGUGAAAGAGGAUCCAAUUGGAAGGCGAUCGGAGUCAGAUAGAUACCCAGAAGACGGAUCCGGAAGGAAGGCACGAUGAAUCCCGAAUAGUGAGUGCCCCAGUUUUGUUGGAGUUUUGGGUGGGAGGUUGCGUUGAUGCUUGCAGUGCAGUUUUUUGUGGUGGUGGUGGUGGGGGGUUGAAUUAGUUAGGGGAGGUGGUGGCAUCUGCGGAGCUGCAGAUCAGUGGAUCUUGAUAGUGUGUGUGUGCGGGGCACGGAAUGUGGGGGUUGCGGUGGUUUGUGGCAGCGGCAGUGGAAAGGACGGAUCAUUGAGGGCGUGUAGUUGACAGUGUAGCCCGUGAGGGGGCUGGCGGGGAUUGAGAGUUGGGAUAGGAGUGUGGAAACGGGGAGCGUUGGAGUGGAUGUGUGAUGCAUGUGUGGUAAGAAAAUAGUGCUCUGCUCCUGUCAGGAGCGGAGCUACACGAAGUCCUUGUAUGUCCUGACUUUGCUUCUUUCUUGUAAUUUUGAGUCUCGAAAAUCACAUUUGGUUUUUUUUCGCAAGGUAGGUGUAGCUGAGAGCUUUUGACGAUUUGUCUGUGUCGACUUUUGAGUCUCUAUUCGGAGUCCUUAUGAGGGGCAUGACAUGGCGCGCAAGGAUGACAAUUGAGGCCUGGGUAGGUUGGUUGAGAGGAUCGAACGAUGUGUGGAGUCGUUUUUACCGUGAAAGGGUGAGGAGAUUGUAUAAUUGUGGUUGGCAAAGUGCGUGUUGCUGGAACAGUGUCGGCUGCUCAACCUCUUGAGCAUCGGUGGAAGACCUGCCAGAUGUUGUUGGAUGUCAGACUGCAUAUUGGUGACGUGGUCUACAUGAGGUGGUAGUUUGAUGGUCGCUUGACCAUCGCGCACGAUAAGAUCGUUUUAGGGUUUAUGUCGUGGAGUGUGUGAAUACGCGUGCCAAAUGUUGCGCCGGGCAGCGGUGGAUGGGUAGUGUAGCGUGGUUUUGAGGGUUUGGGUGAAGUGUGUCCGGGCAUGUUCGGCGUGGGGUUCAAACUUGGUAAAGUGUGGUGGGUCUGAUCAAGAAAGAUGCAGGAGUUGGUUGGGAUGGAUUAUGGUGGUGUAUGCAGAUAUGAAUUGGUGGUGACAAACGAGCAGAAUUUAGCCCACAGGAUGAGGAGCAUGAUGAGUCGUGACUGAUGGACGUGGGUGGUGGGUUUGGCAGUGAUUACCUUUUCAAGCUGUUGCUGAUCGGAGACUCCGGUGUUGGAAAGUAGUUGCCUUCUGCUACGAUUUGCAGUAUGGUUCUAUUCUCAAGCUUUUGAUGUGCACAGAUGAUAGCAUGAAAGCUUGGAAGAC